GACGAACGCUGGCGGCGUGCUUAACACAUGCAAGUCGAACGGAAAGGCCCUGCUUUUGUGGGGUUCUCGAGUGGCGAACGGGUGAGUAACACGUGAGUAACCUGCCCUUGACUUUGGGAUAACUUCAGGAAACUGGGGCUAAUACCGGAUAGUAGCUCCUGCUGCAUUGUGGGGGUUGGAAAGUUUCGGCGGUUGGGGAUGGACUCGCGGCUUAUCAGCUUGUUGGUGGGGUAGUGGCUUACCAAGGCUUUGACGGGUAGCCGGCCUGAGAGGGUGACCGGCAACAUUGGGACUGAGAUACGGCCCAGACUCCUACGGGAGGCAGCAGUGGGGAAUAUUGCACAAUGGGAGGAAGCCUGAUGCAGCAACGCCGCGUGCGGGAUGACGGCCUUCGGGUUGUAAACCGCUUUCGCCUGUGACGAAGCGUGAGUGACGGUAAUGGGUAAAGAAGCACCGGCUAACUACGUG
rnacentral:rRNA from 1 species